rnacentral:rRNA from 1 species
AUUGAACGCUGGCGGCAGGCCUAACACAUGCAAGUCGAGCGGAUGAGGGGAGCUUGCUCCUGGAUUCAGCGGCGGACGGGUGAGUAAUGCCUAGGAAUCUGCCUGGUAGUGGGGGAUAACGUCCGGAAACGGGCGCUAAUACCGCAUACGUCCUGAGGGAGAAAGUGGGGGAUCUUCGGACCUCACGCUAUCAGAUGAGCCUAGGUCGGAUUAGCUAGUUGGUGGGGUAAAGGCCUACCAAGGCGACGAUCCGUAACUGGCCUGAGAGGAUGAUCAGUCACACUGGAACUGAGACACGGUCCAGACUCCUACGGGAGGCAGCAGUGGGGAAUAUUGGACAAUGGGCGAAAGCCUGAUCCAGCCAUGCCGCGUGUGUGAAGAAGGUCUUCGGAUUGUAAAGCACUUUAAGUUGGGAGGAAGGGCAGUAAGUUAAUACCUUGCUGUUUUGACGUUACCAACAGAAUAAGCACCGGCUAACUUCGUG